rnacentral:rRNA from 1 species
CGAACGGAAAGGCCCUGCUUGCAGGGUACUCGAGUGGCGAACGGGUGAGUAACACGUGGGUGAUCUGCCCUGCACUUCGGGAUAAGCCUGGGAAACUGGGUCUAAUACCGGAUAGGAGCCAUUUUUAGUGUGAUGGUUGGAAAGUUUUUUCGGUGUAGGAUGAGCUCGCGGCCUAUCAGCUUGUUGGUGGGGUAAUGGCCUACCAAGGCGGCGACGGGUAGCCGGCCUGAGAGGGUGGACGGCCACAUUGGGACUGAGAUACGGCCCAGACUCCUACGGGAGGCAGCAGUGGGGAAUAUUGCACAAUGGGCGCAAGCCUGAUGCAGCGACGCCGCGUGGGGGAUGACGGCCUUCGGGUUGUAAACUCCUUUCGCUAGGGACGAAGCUUUUUGUGACGGUACCUAGAUAAGAAGCACCGGCUAACUACGUGCCAGCAGCCGCGGUAAUACGUAGGGUGCGAGCGUUGUCCGGAAUUACUGGGCGUAAAGGGCUCGUAGGUGGUUUGUCGCGUCGUCUGUGAAAUUCCGGGGCUUAACUCCGGGCGUGCAGGCGAUACGGUCAUAACUUGAGUACUGUAGGGGUAACUGGAAUUCCUGGUGUAGCGGUGAAAUACGCAGAUAUCAGGAGGAACACCGAUGGCGAAGGCAGGUUACUGGGCAG